ensembl:lncRNA
CUAGGGAUCAAAUCCAGGUCUCCCACAUUGCAGGCAGAUUCUUUACCAGGGCUGCCGUAACGAAUCACGGCAAACUGAGUGGCUUUGUCUCCGCCCUAAAUUCAGUAUGAUUUCAUCUUAAUAUCUUUAAUUAUAUCUACAAAGACCCUAUUUCCCAAUAAGGUCACAUUCUGAGAUUGCGUGGACAGGAAUUUGAAGGAGACACUUCAACCCACUAUUUUGGCUGAAAUUCUGCAAGAGACUGAACAGCAGCCAAGAGGCAAUAAAAAUCUAAGUGGAUUAGUAUCCUCAAGUCAAGAAAGGAAGGGAUUUUGAGAUCCUGAAAGAAG